UUUCCGUAGGUGAACCUGCGGAAGGAUCAUUAUUGUAUAACCGAGGUGCGAGGGCUGUCGCUGACCCGAAAGGUCGUGCACGCCCGAGUGUGUCCUCUUGCAUAAUAAUCCAUCUCACCCUUUGUGCAUCACCGCGUGGGCACCCUUCGGGAUCAUCUCGGGGGGGGGCUCGCGUUUUCACACAAACCCCCCUUUUAAAAGUGUAGAAUGACCACAUUUAUGCAAUCAAUACAACUUUCAACAACGGAUCUCUUGGCUCUC
rnacentral:misc_RNA from 1 species